GCCGCCUUGGCUCAGCUGGUAGAGCGGCUGAUUCGUAAUCAGCAGAUCGUCAGUUCAAAUCUGACAGGCGGCUCCA
rnacentral:tRNA from 4 species